GGACGAGGAGGAGGCUGCGGUGAUUGCCCCCGAGGGCUCCGUGGGUGCGUACUCACAGCCCGGGGCCCUCGGGAGGCAGCGGCCUGCUCCCCGCUCCACACCCCCAGGGCCGCCAUGGAUCCGGCUGCUCUGCGCGGGAGCUGCAGGUAAUAAAUGCUUAUUAAAGGAAACUCCAUAGAACUGAAAGAAGAAACAGAUGGCCCUGUAGAUCCAGGGAAAAGAGCUGCCUCUGCCUCCGCAUGGAAACCAGCACUGAGGUCUCCCCUCGCCUCCCACCCUGUUAAUGUCCUUGCUAGCAGGAGCAUAAAGGCCAUCACGGCAGGGACUCUGCAGUGAAGAGGAGGCCCCGCUCGUGGAGCCUGCUGUAGAAACACUUGCUAACUGUGAGUCCAGGGAUUUGAUUCCUGACAGAGAUUCUCUCCUUGAGAAACUCCACGCAGCCCCCCUGAACUUUUCAAUGAGACCUCAACUUUUGGACUUCUGUGGUUGUCUCUGCCUUGUCUGCUUUUGGCAAGAACCCCCACCUAGAUAACUGGUCAGGAGACCCCGCCGUCCCCGGGUGAUACCCUCACUUCAGCAAGAAUCCUGUUAGGUUGGUUUCACCAGAACCCUCUGAGCGUGGUGUUUUGUCUUGGUAAUUUCCCGUCC